rnacentral:rRNA from 1 species
ACCCGCACAAGCGUGGAUGAUGUGGAUUAAUUCGAUGCAACGCGAAGAACCUUUACCAGGUCUUGACAUACUCGUGCUAUUCCUAGAGAUAGGAAGUUCCUUCGGGACACGGGAUACAGGUGGUGCAUGGUUGUCGUCAGCUCGUGUCGUGAGAUGUUGGGUUAAGUCCCGCAACGAGCGCAACCCCUAUUGUUAGUUGCCAUCAUUAAGUUGGGCACUCUAACGAGACUGCCGGUGAUAAACCGGAGGAAGGUGGGGAUGACGUCAAGUCAUCAUGGCCCCUAUGUCCAGGGCUACACACGUGCUACAAUGGGCGAUACAGAGUGACGCGAAGCCGCGAGGUGGAGCAAAUCGCAGAAAAUCGCUCUCAGUUCGGAUUGGAGUCUGAAACCCGACUCCAUGAAGGUGGAAUCGCUAGUAAUCGCGCAUCAGCAUGGCGCGGUGAAUACGUUCCCGGGCCUU